rnacentral:sRNA from 1 species
CUGCUGAGGUGAAAUGUGGUGUACGUGACCGUCGAUACCUGCAGCGGUAAGAAUCAGAUGCUCGCCUGAGAUAGCGUCGGUCGACGGACCUGUAACGAGGUCGGGCGAUACACCUUCCAUAGUGUCGGGAUUACCGGCCUUUCCUAUGCCUGCAAUCUUGCCGUCCUUAAUACCUACAUCGGCUUUUACUACACCGAGGAUAGGGUCAAGUAUCGUAACGUUGGUGAUUACCAGGUCAAGGGAGCCUCCCUUAACCGAAUAGCGGUUAGCCAAGCCCAUGCCGUCGCG